rnacentral:rRNA from 1 species
CCUACGGGAGGCAGCAGUGAGGAAUAUUGGACAAUGGGCGCAAGCCUGAUCCAGCCAUGCCGCGUGCAGGAUGACGGUCCUAUGGAUUGUAAACUGCUUUUAUACGAGAAGAAACACUACUUCGUGAAGUAGCUUGACGGUAUCGUAAGAAUAAGGAUCGGCUAACUCCGUGCCAGCAGCCGCGGUAAUACGGAGGAUCCAAGCGUUAUCCGGAAUCAUUGGGUUUAAAGGGUCCGUAGGCGGUUUAAUAAGUCAGUGGUGAAAGCCCAUCGCUCAACGGUGGAACGGCCAUUGAUACUGUUAGACUUGAAUUAUUAGGAAGUAACUAGAAUAUGUAGUGUAGCGGUGAAAUGCUUAGAGAUUACAUGGAAUACCAAUUGCGAAGGCAGGUUACUACUAAUUGAUUGACGCUGAUGGACGAAAGCGUGGGUAGCGAACAGGAUUAGAUACCCUGGUAGUCCACGCCGUAAACGAUGGAUACUAGCUGUUGGGAGCAAUCUCAGUGGCUAAGCGAAAGUGAUAAGUAUCCCACCUGGGGAGUACGUUCGCAAGAAUGAAACUCAAAGGAAUUGAACGG